AUUGAACGCUGGCGGCAGGCCUAACACAUGCAAGUCGAGCGAGCGGCGGACGGGUAAGUAAUAUAAGUGGGCUGCUCGUUAGAGGGGGAUAACUACUGGAAACGGUGGCUAAUACUGCAUACUGCUGGAUAACCCAUAAGGGAUUAGCUAGUAGGUAAGGUAAUGGCUUACCUAGGCGACGAUCCCUAGCUGGUCUGAGAGGAUGAUCAACCACACUGGGACUGAGACACGGCCCAGACGCCUACGGAGGCAGCAGUGGGGAAUAUUGCAAAAUGGGCGCAAGCCUUAUGCAGCCAUGCCGCGUGUAUGAAGAAGGCCCUAGGGUUGUAAAGUACUUUCAGUCGGGAGGCGUUACCGACAGAAGAAGCACCGGCUAACUCCGUGCCAGCAGCCGCGGUAAUAC
rnacentral:rRNA from 1 species